CCUACGGGAGGCAGCAGUAAGGAAUAUUGGUCAAUGGACGCAGGUCUGAACCAGCCAUGCCGCGUGCAGGAUGAAGGCCCUCUGGGUUGUAAACUGCUUUUAUAGGGGACGAAAAAGGGACUUUCUAGUUCAACUGACGGUACCCUAGGAAUAAGCACCGGCUAACUCCGUGCCAGCAGCCGCGGUAAUACGGAGGGUGCAAGCGUUAUCCGGAUUUACUGGGUUUAAAGGGUGCGUAGGUGGGUCGGUAAGUCAGCGGUGAAAUCUUCAAGCUUAACUUGGAAACUGCCAUUGAUACUAUCGAUCUUGAAUCAUCUGGAGGUAAGCGGAAUAUGUCAUGUAGCGGUGAAAUGCUUAGAUAUGACAUAGAACACCAAUUGCGAAGGCAGCUUACUACGGAUGUAUUGACACUGAGGCACGAAAGCGUGGGGAUCAAACAGGAUUAGAUACCCUGGUAGUCCACGCCCUAAACGAUGGAUACUCGACAUACGUGAUAUACUAUNUGUGUCUGNGAGAACAAUAAUAUACCACCUACGGAGAGAGCGCGAGAGUAGAACGUACGAAGUAAGUAGUAGACGACGAGAGAGCGACGACGACGACGACGGAGGGAGGAG
rnacentral:rRNA from 1 species